GUGGAAUUAUUUAUACUGUAUUAUUUGUAAAGGUCAUACGUUUUAAAGAUAAAUGUGUUAUUUUUAAUAUGUUUAUUUUAGUGUUAACAUGGGGAAGCGCUAUUUACGCACUAGCCUCACCACCGAAGCGAUGGGAGAGUGGAGCUCCCAGCCGACUGCCAGCCUAUCCACCAAAAUCUCAUCUGUUUCCGUCAGCACUAAAAUUGGUCGCCAUGGGAUCGCUUGCGCAUACUACCACAGCAAGAGGCCUUACACCGAUAGACAUCUCGGCAUGCCCCUACCAAAAAGAUAGUAAAGUUACAAGAAAAAUACUCAUCAGCAUAUUGUUCGCGACUGCAACAUUCACCUGAUAAAUUUCAGUUAUAUAAUAAAACAUCUUUUAUGUCAUA
rnacentral:misc_RNA from 1 species